ensembl:snRNA U6 U6 spliceosomal RNA
GUGCUUGCUUUGGCAGCACAUAUACUGAAACUGGAGCAAUACAAAGAUUAGCAUGACCCCUGCACAAGGAUGACAUGCAUAUUUGUGAAACAUUCCGUAUUUUU